UACGGGGGGGGGCAAGCGUUGUUCGGAAUUACUGGGCGUAAAGGGCUCGUAGGCGGCCAACUAAGUCAUACGUGAAAUCCCUCGGCUUAACCGGGGAACUGCGUCUGAUACUGGAUGGCUUGAGUUCGGGAGAGGGAUGCGGAAUUCCAGGUGUAGCGGUGAAAUGCGUAGAUAUCUGGAGGAACACCGGUGGCGAAGGCGGCAUCCUGGACCGAUACUGACGCUGAGGAGCGAAAGUGUGGGGAGCGAACAGG
rnacentral:rRNA from 1 species